AUAUUUCUAGUUAUAGAAAUCUAUUUAGAGAAUUCUAUUUUAGGGAAUCCGCCAUUUUAGAAAAUUUCUAUUUUAGGAAAGUUUCUAUUUUGGGAAAGUUUCUAUUUUAGGAAAAUUUCUAUUUUGGGAAAGUUUCUAUUUUAGGAAAGUUUCCAAAAAUGGAAACUUUAUUUCUUGAGACUCUGCGCCUAAGUCGUUGACUCUUGUGUUGCAGUUGAUCUCAGUUGACCAUCUUCCGUUGUUCUUUCCGGUCAGUUGCUAAGGUGAGGGCUAUUCCGUUAAAUCCUGAGCUAGUUUAGUACUAUUAUUAUUGAAAGUCUAGUUUCGAAACAUGAUCCGUCUUUGUGAAUCGAGUAUGUUUGAAAGUCUUGGUUGCUUAUUAUUAAUUUGAUUGUUAAACUGGAAAUAGGAUAAUAGAGGAUUCAACGAUUGUGUGAAAUGAUUGAUGUUAAAGACUGUUAUAUAUAUGUAUAUAUCUAGUUAUAUAGUAAGGACUAUGUGGUGAGUGCGGGGGCCCAGAGUGAUUUGGGCUAGCGACGCAUAUGAGUACGGGGGCCCAGAGAAAUCUGAGCUAGCGACGUAUAGAGUGCGGGGGCACAGAGACAUCUGAGCUAGCGACGCAUAGUGGAUGAGUACGGGGGCCCAGAGACGUCUGAGCUAGCGACGUAUAUUGUGUGGUGCGGGGUGCAGAGACGUUUGCAUAUCGACGCAUAUUGGUGGAGUGCGGGGGUCCAGAGAUGUCUGGACUAUCGACGCAUAUUAUGAUAUCGUAUAUCCGUAUGAGGAGAACGCAGGGUGUGUGGACUAGCUAUGUACCAUCAGCGUAUUGUUUGUUUUGUGUGAUGUGCUAGGCAUCUUGUCUGUUCAUGCUAGAGCUACUCUUACAUAGUCGUAGUGCUAUGUACUGAGUCUGUGGUUUGCGGGUUAGCAUCCCAUACCUCACUGAGUGACUCCCCUGUUGCUCAUCCCUCUUUCUUUUCUCUUUCAGGUGAGCCUGGCAGACAGGAGUGAUUGCUUUCGGAUUGGUGCAUUUGGAAGUUUAUUUCUUAUUUUCAGACUUUCGGUUUUUAGCUUUUAUCUAUAUUUUCCAGGAUUUAUGCUAUUAUUGGAUUUAUGUUUAUUUAUUGGAUUUAUGAUGAGUAAUAAAUGAAGAUUUUGGAGAUUUUUAUUUAUUAUAUUAUUUUAGAAAAUCGGGGUAUUACAAUUUGGUAUCAGAGCGGGGUUCCGUCCUGGCUCUGACCCGGGACGGCGAUUUAUGGGACUCGGAUUUCAGUGAUUUUUCAAUGUUUUGGGAUUGGGAGUUUUUGAAAAAAAAAAUGCACCCUUCUGCCGAGCAUCAUUCGGUUAGUCAUUAGAGAUUCUGAUUUUCUUUUCUUCUGCAGGUGAAGACCAAGUUUCUUUCGUUUCCAUCGUCUAUUACCUUUUAUCUUUCUUUUCUUCGAAGCUGUGGACGUUCUUUCUUCAUCUCUUUGGAAUUCGGGACGAAUUCUGAUUAAGUGGGGGAGAAUUGUAACGACCCGGAUCUUAGGAGUGAGCCUGGCAGACAGGAGUGAUUGCUUUCGGAUUGGUGCUUUUGGGCGUUUUCUUUAUUUCUAUUCCAGAUUUUCGGUUUUGUGCUUUACCGAGAUUUUUAGAUUUAUUAUACUAUUUGAAUUUAAUGCUAUUUAUUGGAUUUAUGGAGAUUUGAGAUUAUUUAUGUGGAGUAAUAAAUGGAGAUUUCAGGAUUAUU